rnacentral:rRNA from 1 species
CAACUUUCAGCAACGGAUCUCUUGGCUCUCGCAUCGAUGAAGAACGCAGCGAAAUGCGAUAAGUAAUGUGAAUUGCAGAAUUCAGUGAAUCAUCGAAUCUUUGAACGCACCUUGCGCUCCUUGGUAUUCUGAGGAGCAUGCCUGUUUGAGUGUCAU